rnacentral:misc_RNA from 1 species
AAAAAUAGUUAUUUUUUUAAUAAUUUGGCUAAUUAAAUUUGAUAAGUUGAGCUCAUGAGCUUAAUAAACAAGCUAAAUGUAAGCUGAACUUAUGAGCUUAAUUAACAACCUUAAUGCGAGCUGAGCUCGAGCCUAAUAAAAUCUAAAUGAGCCACCUAAGCUCUUCAAAACUUGGCUUAGAUCAUUUACAUCCCUAUAUUUCAGAAGUCACUUCAAGGAGCUCAUAGU